GCGCUUAAUUGCGCGGCCAGUUCUUGAUUCUCUGCUAUCAGUUUUCUAUUUCUCAUCCUAAACACAAUGGAGUUUUUUCUCUAUGAACUACUUCCCUGGAGAGCUCGUCUCUCCAGUGGACAUAAACACAAACAAUAUUUUGUAUUAUGAAAAACUAUUAUACUAUAAAAUUUAAUAUUCAAAACUUUCAACAACGGAUCUCUUGGUUCUCGCAUCGAUGAAGAACGCAGCGAAUUGCGAUAUGUAUUGUGAAUUGCAGAUUUUCGUGAAUCAUCAAAUCUUUGAACGCACAUUGCGCCCUCUGGUAUUCCAGGGGGCAUGCCUGUUUGAGCGUCAUUUCUCUCUCAAACCUUUGGGUUUGGUAGUGAGUGAUACUCGUCUCGGGUUAACUUGAAAGUGGCUAGCCGUUGCCAUCUGCGUGAGCAGGGCUGCGUGUCAAGUCUAUGGACUCGACUCUUGCACAUCUACGUCUUAGGUUUGCGCCAAUUCGUGGUAAGCUUGGGUCAUAGAGACUCAUAGGUGUUAUAAAGACUCGCUGGUGUUUGUCUCCUUGAGGCAUACGGCUUUAACCAAAACUCUCAAAGUUUGACCUCAAAUCAGGUAGGAGUACCCGCUGAACUUAAGCUAUAAA
rnacentral:rRNA from 1 species